rfam:Aedes albopictus isolate Foshan contig70356, whole genome shotgun sequence.
UGUUCUGUGGCUUAGUUGGUUAAAGCGCCGGACUAGCGAUAGGAAGUCGUGGGUUGGAAUCCCAUCAAAACAA